rnacentral:rRNA from 1 species
CGCUGGCGGCGUGCCUAAUACAUGCAAGUCGAACGGUCUUUCUAUGGAAGCUUGCUCCACUGAGAAGAUAGUGGCGAACGGGUGAGUAACACGUGGGUAACCUGCCCAUAAGGAGGGGGAUAACAUCCGGAAACGGGUGCUAAUACCGCAUAGUUUUCUUGAUCGCAUGAUCGGGAAAGGAAAGACGGCCUUUGUGCUGUCGCUUAUGGAUGGACCCGCGGCGUAUUAGUUAGUUGGUGAGGUAAUGGCUCACCAAGACGAUGAUACGUAGCCGACCUGAGAGGGUGAUCGGCCACAUUGGGACUGAGACACGGCCCAAACUCCUACGGGAGGCAGCAGUAGGGAAUCUUCCGCAAUGGACGAAAGUCUGACGGAGCAACGCCGCGUGAGUGAAGAGGGGUUUUUUCCGGAUCGUAAAACUCUGUUGUCAGAGAAGAACAAGUUGGAGAGUAACUGCUCCAGCCUUGACGGUAUCUGACCAGAAAGCCACGGCUAACUACGUGCCAGCAGCCGC